AACGAACGCUGGCGGCAUGCCUAACACAUGCAAGUCGAACGAGACCUUCGGGUCUAGUGGCGCACGGGUGCGUAACGCGUGGGAACCUGCCCUUAGGUUCGGAAUAACUCCCCGAAAGGGGUGCUAAUACCGGAUAGUGUCUUCGGACCAAAGAUUUAUCGCCUUUGGAUGGGCCCGCGUUGGAUUAGCUAGUUGGUAGGGUAAAAGCCUACCAAGGCGGCGAUCCAUAGCUGGUCUGAGAGGAUGAUCAGCCACACUGGGACUGAGACACGGCCCAGACUCCUACGGGAGGCAGCAGUGGGGAAUAUUGGACAAUGGGCGAAAGCCUGAUCCAGCAAUGCCGCGUGAGUGAUGAAGGCCUUAGGGUUGUAAAGCUCUUUUACCCGGGAUGAUAAUGACAGUACCGGGAGAAUAAGCUCCGGCUAACUCCGUG
rnacentral:rRNA from 1 species